rnacentral:rRNA from 1 species
AGGAGACGCUGGCGGCGUGGAUUAGGCAUGCAAGUCGAACGGUAUCAUCCUUUCGGGGAUGAGAGAGUGGCGAACGGGUGAGUAACACGUAGGUGAUCUACCCUCAAGACGGGGACAACCCAGGGAAACUUGGGCUAAUACCGGAUGUGAGCUAUCGCGAGAUAGUUUGAAAGGUGGCUUCGGCUGCCGCUUGGGGAUGAGCCUGCGUCCUAUUAGCUAGUUGGUGAGGUAACGGCUCACCGAGGCAGUGAUAGGUAGGCGGCCUUAACGGGUGGUCGCCCACACUGGGAUUGAGAUACGGCCCAGACUCCUACGGGAGGCAGCAGUCGAGAAUAGUCUACAAUGGUCGGAAGACUGAUAGUGCGACGCCGCGUGAACGAUGAAUCCCUUCGGGGUGUAAAGUUCUUUUAUAUGUGAGCAGUGCUUCUUAUAUUAACAGUAUGGGGAGAGAGAUAUUAGCAUAUGAAUAAGCAACGGCUAACUCCGUG